AGCAGGGUGGCAUAGUGGUUUGAGCAUUGGACUACAAAUCUGGAGACCCAGGUUCGAAUCCUUGCUCAGGUA